UUUGGAAGUAUGGAAGCGAAAAUGAAAGCAAUCAAAAGAUGAGUGAUUUCACGUAAUUAUGAGGAAGAUUGAAAUGAACAAUUAAUAAGUAAGGGUUAAUUCAAAGAUACAUUUUAACAAUUAAUGGGUUAAGAAACAAAAUUAUACAAAACAUAGAGGAUCAAAGAUGCAAAAGAGCCAAAAUUGGCCAUUGAUGCUCUCAGAUCAUCUCGUGAGGGAGCUGCGAUGGAGCGACACUGUGAAAAUCAAUCGCUGGAGUAAAUCCGUCAGCGGAAUGAAUCCGUCACCGGAGUGAACCCUUUGCCGGAGUAAGUCCACAAUAAUUCUCGCCGGAAACCUCGAUAUCCUUAAAAUCUGGGAAGAAAAAAAUGAAAAAGAGUUGAUGAAUAAACCACAAGCUUCUUCACCACUCCAAAAAUUGUUUGAUUCUACUUCUGUUGCUUUUGGAAUGGUACCCAACGUUUUCUAGAUCUGUGAAGAAAAUAAAAAGAAAGAGAUUUGAGAAAGAAGAAAAGGAAAGAGAAAUGGUAGGACUCACUAGUUAUAAUUUAGUUUUGUU
rnacentral:lncRNA from 1 species